rnacentral:rRNA from 1 species
AUUGAACGCUGGCGGUAUGCCUAACACAUGCAAGUCGAACGAGGUAGCAAUACCUAGUGGCGGACGGGUGAGGAAUACGUAGGGAUCUGCCCUUAAGUGGGGAUAACCCGGGGAAACCCGGAUUAAUACCGCAUGAUCUCGCAAGAGCAAAGAGGGGGACCGCAAGGCCUCUCGCUUUUGGAGGAACCUACGUCGGAUUAGCUAGUUGGUGAGGUAAUGGCUCACCAAGGCGACGAUCCGUAACUGGUCUGAGAGGAUGAUCAGUCACACCGGAACUGAGACACGGUCCGGACUCCUACGGGAGGCAGCAGUGGGGAAUAUUGGACAAUGGGCGAAAGCCUGAUCCAGCAAUACCGCGCGUGUGAAGAAGGCCUCGGUUGUAAG